GGGGUUAUCGUGCUCGUCACCGGAUACCUCACCGGAAAAGACGAUGUUCGCCGGAACUUUACCCAAUCCUUUUUCCUCGCCACGCAGGAUAAGGGUUACUAUGUCCUCAACGACAUCUUCCGGUAUGUCGAGGAUUCCGACCCAUUGGCAGCGAUACAGGUUCCGGUUACCACACCCGAGCAGGAGACCCCGCCACCGCAGGAGCAACAGAUUACCGAGAGAUCGGUUCCGGAGCCUGAGCAGGAGGAGGAUGACGAGGUGGAUGAGGAGGAUGACGAGGUGAUUGAUGAAGAACUGUUCAAUCCUUCGGACCACGAGGAGGCUUUGGAUGAGGAUGAGGAAAUCCCUGUGGAGGAGGUGAUUGAUGAGGUUGAGGUUCCAAACAGCUCUCCACCGCCUCCG
rnacentral:misc_RNA from 1 species